rnacentral:rRNA from 1 species
ACGCUGGCGGCAGGCCUAACACAUGCAAGUCGAGCGGUAGAGAGAAGCUUGCUUCUCUUGAGAGCGGCGGACGGGUGAGUAACGCCUAGGAAUCUGCCUGGUAGUGGGGGAUAACGUUCGGAAACGGACGCUAAUACCGCAUACGUCCUACGGGAGAAAGCAGGGGACCUUCGGGCCUUGCGCUAUCAGAUGAGCCUAGGUCGGAUUAGCUAGUUGGUGGGGUAAUGGCUCACCAAGGCGACGAUCCGUAACUGGUCUGAGAGGAUGAUCAGUCACACUGGAACUGAGACACGGUCCAGACUCCUACGGGAGGCAGCAGUGGGGAAUAUUGGACAAUGGGCGAAAGCCUGAUCCAGCCAUGCCGCGUGUGUGAAGAAGGUCUUCGGAUUGUAAAGCACUUUAAGUUGGGAGGAAGGGCCAUUACCUAAUACGUGAUGGUUUUGACGUUACCGACAGAAUAAGCACCGGCUAACUCUGUGCCAGCAGCCGCGGUAAUACAGAGGGUGCAAGCGUUAAUCGGAAUUACUGGGCGUAAAGCGCGCAUAGGUGGUUUGUUAAGUUGGAUGUGAAAUCCCCGGGCUCAACCUGGGAACUGCAUUCAAACUGACUGACUAGAGUAUGGUAGAGGGUGGUGGAAUUUCCUGUGUAGCGG